rnacentral:tmRNA from 1 species
UGUAUUGCAAAAUAGCGAGAUAUGUUGUACCAUUACUAUGUCGAAAGACUAUGAUAAUAAAUGCUGUGCGUAAUAGAUGCUAUGGACUCGGGGGCAGUACCCGACACCUCCACCAGGUAGUAUUUUGCUAGGAUAGGGGGGUGAAAUAGCUUUGACAUUCAUUGAAAGGCAUUGGUUUUAUCCAGCAGGAUACAGCUGUCACGCAAGUGAAGAUAGUUCGAAAAUUAGAUGCAAAAGAUAAUUUUGCUAAUGUUGCACUAGCUGCCUAAGUCUUCGGACAGUAUUUCAGUAGAAAUGCUUUCACCUAUUGGUGAAUAGCUGGGCGACGGGGUUGGAGGGGCCUGUCAACAGAAGCCCUCCGCA